AUGUGGCCUUGCGGCCCUGCCAUGGCCUUCCGGCCCGGUGUCCGGUCAGUCCAUGGCGUGGCGCGGCCUCCCACAGCCGGGCGAGCUCAAGACCGACCGGAUCCGGUCCAAAUCCGGCCGGCGGGUGCGCAAAAUAGGUGGCCGUGGUUGGGUAGCUCGGGGGCGCCGAGGGGAAGGGGCGGGGCGAGCGCGCGUCCGAGCUGCACAGCUACAAUGGCAGCAGCAGCGGCGGCGGCGGCGAGGGAACAGUGGGGAAGGGUGGAGAAGAAUGGAGGGCGUGCAGCCGGAGGGAGGGAGGGGGCGGAUAGAAAAAGGCGCCCCUGUGCCACCGACGGGCGGGCCAGGGGAGAACACGCGCAGACGGCCCGCGCGUCCGCGUGCUGUCCGUUUCACCACAAAAGCGGCGUAAACUUGGGCCGGGAUGGGUCGAAAGCGGACACAAAACGGACAAAAAUCCGUUUGCGCCCGCGCGCUGGGCCGUCUGGUUCGUACGUUUUACCCCAAACGAACGCGCGCGGACAGGAUGGGGUCGCGGAGUGGAGUUGGCCUUAA
rnacentral:rRNA from 1 species